rnacentral:rRNA from 1 species
AAAAAAGAGGGGAAGCAGAACCAAGUCAAGAUGAUAUGGGUCGCCCCUUCUUCUUGCGCCAAAGAUCUUACCAUUUCCGAAGGAACUGGGGCUACAUUUCUUUUCAAUUUCCAUUCAAGAGUUUCUAUCUGUUUCCACGCCCUUUUCUUGAGACCUCGAAACAUGAGGACAAAUUACUUCUCUUAG